rnacentral:rRNA from 1 species
UACGGGGGGAGCAAGCGUUGUUCGGAUUUACUGGGCGUAAAGGGCGCGUAGGCGGUCAGCACAAGUCAGUUGUGAAAUCUCCGAGCUUAACUCGGAAAGGUCAACUGAUACUGUGCGACUAGAGUGCAGAAGGGGCAACUGGAAUUCUCGGUGUAGCGGUGAAAUGCGUAGAUAUCAGGAGGAACACCCGUGGUGUAGACGGCUUGCUGGACGGUCACUGACGCUGAGGCACGAAAGCGUGGGGAGCAAACAGG